rnacentral:rRNA from 1 species
UCUGGUCAUUACCAAUUCCACCUGUGCACACUUGUAGACACUUGGGAAUGAGAGACUUUGACCAGUCUCUUGAGAGAAUUGAAAUCUGGGUGUCUAUGCCAUUUUACCAAACACUAGUUGCAUGUUUAUAGAAUGAUUAUUUGAUUGAAUAUAUAAAUACAACUUUCAACAACGGAUCUCUUGGCUCUCGCAUCGAUGAAGAACGCAGCGAAAUGCGAUAAGUAAUGUGAAUUGCAGAAUUCAGUGAAUCAUCGAAUCUUUGAACGCACCUUGCGCUCCUUGGCAUUCCGAGGAGCAUGCCUGUUUGAGUGUCAUUAACACCUCAAGACCUGUCUGCUUUUGAUAGGUAUUGGAUUUUGGGAGUUGCAGGCUGUUUCAGAUAUAGCUUGCUCUCCUUGAAUGUAUUAGUGGAGAAAAGCUGUUGAACUCCAUUGGUGUGAUAAAAUCUAUCAAUGCCAGGAGCAACAUCAAGUGGUCUCUGCUGUCUAACCCUAACUGUCUGACUCACUUGACCUCAAAUCAGGUAGGACUACCCGCUGAACUUAAGCAUAUCAAUAAGCGGAGGACC